rnacentral:rRNA from 1 species
AUACGAAAGGUGCAAGCGUUGUUCGGAUUUACUGGGCGUAAAGAGAGUGUAGGUGGUUUAUUAAGUCGGAUGUGAAAUCCCGGGGCUCAACCUCGGAACUGCAUUCGAUACUGAUAGGCUAGAGUUUGGGAGGGGUAAGCGGAAUUCCGUGUGUAGCAGUGAAAUGCGUAGAUAUACGGAGGAACACCUGAGGCGAAGGCGGCUUACUGGACCAAUACUGACACUGAGACUCGAAAGCGUGGGUAGCAAACAGGAUUAGAAACCCUGGUAGUCC